GCCGGGGUGGCCGAGCGGUCUAAGGCGGCGGGCUGCAGACCCGUUUUCCCCGGGUUCGAAUCCCGGCCCCGGCUCCA
rnacentral:tRNA from 1 species